AUUGAACGCUGGCGGCAUGCCUUACACAUGCAAGUCGAACGGCAGCAUGAUCUAGCUUGCUAGAUUGAUGGCGAGUGGCGAACGGGUGAGUAAUACAUCGGAACGUGCCCUGUAGUGGGGGAUAACUAGUCGAAAGAUUAGCUAAUACCGCAUACGACCUGAGGGUGAAAGUGGGGGACCGCAAGGCCUCAUGCUAUAGGAGCGGCCGAUGUCUGAUUAGCUAGUUGGUGAGGUAAAGGCUCACCAAGGCGACGAUCAGUAGCUGGUCUGAGAGGACGAUCAGCCAGACUGGGACUGAGACACGGCCCAGACUACUACGGGAGGCAGCAGUGGGGAAUUUUGGACAAUGGGGGCAACCCUGAUCCAGCAAUGCCGCGUGUGUGAAGAAGGCCUUCGGGUUGUAAAGCACUUUUGUCCGGAAAGAAAUCGCACUUACUAAUAUUAGGUGUGGAUGACGGUACCGGAAGAAUAAGGACCGGCUAACUACGUGCCAGCCGCCGCCGUAAAAC
rnacentral:rRNA from 1 species